AUUGAACGCUGGCGGAAUGCUUUACACAUGCGAGUCGAACGGCAGCACGGGGGCAGCCCUGGUGGCGAGUGGCGAACGGGUGAGUAAUACAUCGGAACGUGCCCGGUCGUGGGGGAUAACGUAGCGAAAGUUACGCUAAUACCGCAUACGAUCUGAGGAUGAAAGCGGGGGACCUUCGGGCCUCGCGCGAUCGGAGCGGCCGAUGUCAGAUUAGGUAGUUGGUGGGGUAAAGGCCUACCAAGCCGACGAUCUGUAGCUGGUCUGAGAGGACGACCAGCCACACUGGGACUGAGACACGGCCCAGACUCCUACGGGAGGCAGCAGUGGGGAAUUUUGGACAAUGGGCGCAAGCCUGAUCCAGCCAUUCCGCGUGCAGGACGAAGGCCUUCGGGUUGUAAACUGCCUUUGUACGGAACGAAAAGGCUCUGGCUAAUACCUGGGGCUCAUGACGGUACCGUAAGAAUAAGCACCGGCUAACUACGUG
rnacentral:rRNA from 1 species